AGAGUUUGAUCCUGGCUCAGAACGAACGCUGGCGGCAGGCCUAACACAUGCAAGUCGAACGCUGCAGCAAUGCAGAGUGGCAGACGGGUGAGUAACGCGUGGGAACCUUCCCAGUGGUACGGAAUAGCUCAGGGAAACUUGAGGUAAUACCGUAUAAGCCCCUAGGGGGAAAGAUUUAUCGCCAUUGGAUGGGCCCGCGUCGGAUUAGCUAGUUGGUGAGGUAACGGCUCACCAAGGCAACGAUCCGUAGCUGGUUUGAGAGAAUGACCAGCCACACUGGGACUGAGACACGGCCCAGACUCCUACGGGAGGCAGCAGUGGGGAAUCUUGGACAAUGGGCGCAAGCCUGAUCCAGCCAUGCCGCGUGAGUGACGAAGGCCUUAGGGUUGUAAAGCUCUUUUGGCGGGGACGAUAAUGACGGUACCCGCAGAAUAAGUCCCGGCUAACUUCGUGCCAGC
rnacentral:rRNA from 1 species